ACUAUGCACUAGGCAUGACUGCAUGAAUGACAAAGCGGAGGUAGAAAUAUAACUAAUCUUUUGAGAAGUUUGGAUGAGAAAAUACUGAAAAAUAUUUGACGGUUCUGAGAACGAAAAGUUGCUUACAGGGAAGUUUGUUUGUUUAUGACGUCGGUAUGUAAAGGCUCAGAGAUAAGAGGAAGUUGAGAGGAAGAGGUUGAAAAUACAGGGCUAAGAGGUAAGAGGUAAGAUGAUCCUUAACUAACAAAGCAAGACUCCAGAGGAAUCAGGAUGGCACUGCGUUCUUGGUUUAAAAUGGUUGAUAACUGUUCCAGUAUUCUUCAUAGAUCAUUGCCAGAAGUACAGUGAUCUCAUUGAUAUAAAGUAUUAGUUCCCUUAAAGAACUUAAGAGAGUGGUUCCCAGACUGAAAAAGAAAAAAAGACUAUGGAAGCAUGAUAUAAAUACAGAUUCCUGAGCCAUAUCCUCCUCAAGAUUCUGAUUUGGUAGGUCUGGAAUGGGCCCAGGGAUUUGCAUUUUCACCAAUCACAUUAAAUAAUUCCAAUGUAGGAGGAUGGUGAAUCAUGGUUUGAGUCAUUAAUAUAACCAAUAGUCCCAGUUCCUACUAUACUAAUAAAAUGCAGUGGACAAUAGGUGUUAAAGGUUUUGGUAUAAACCUGUAGAUAAUAAAAUGACUGCAAAAGGGAAAACAACUUAUUUUAACCACUAAAUUUACUGCUCAGUUUCUUCCCUCCUCCUCUAAGACACUCCUUCUUUUUCUUCUCUUUUUUCUUUCAGAAACUCCCAAAGCUAUAGGCAUUUGGGAAGCCUGAAUUCAGUAGUCAAAGAAGAUGCCACCAUUUCAAUUAUUUUCAACUAUCAGUUUGAUCAUUAGGUUUUGGUAUCAAUGAAUAUUUAACCAAAUUUGACACCAAAACAUAUCUUUGAAUUAUUAAUUAAGUAAAGGGACAGGUAAAAUUCCCAACUUUCAGAAAAAGUAGCAUCUCAUAUAUUUCAUUUUCAACUUGCUUGACACUUUGCAAGGAAUAUUUGUAUAUCACUGUGGCACAAAUUUAACAAGCUUAAGCUUAAUGAGUGUGAGGAAAAUAUUUCAGUGUGCAAGCCAGAAUGAUCACUUGUCGGAAAAGAGGAAGAGGAUUCCUGAAAGUUCUGUGCUCCAAAAUAUGAAUGUGGUACAAGGCCAAAGAAUGAAUAACACUUCCAAGAAAAACAAUUAGCAGCAGGCAAAGUCAGGAAGGCAUUAGAAAGGAAAAAAAUCAAAUACAGAAACGUGUAGCUGACUGAGGAACUUUGAGGACCAUUUGUACCCUAUUGAAAAAUAUAUGUAGAUCUGAUGAGUACUUUCAAGCAAAAUCAUUAUUUCACUGGGCGUAGAGAAUAUGGUGGGUACUGAUAGGAGGGAGAAAGUGUUGGUUUAUAAGAACAAUAAAAAUGGUCUGUGUAUUAGUUUCCUAGGGCUGCUGUAAUGGCACAGCACAAACUGAGUGGCUUAAAUAAGAUAUUAUUUUCUCCAGUUCUGGAGGCUUGAAAUCAUGACAAAGGUGUUGGCAGGGUUAGUUUUGUCUGAGUCCCCUUUCAUUGGCAUAUGGAUGACCAUCUUCUCCUGUGUCUUCACAGUGUGUCUGCAUUUAAAAAGCAUUUGAGGAGUUCCCUUCGUGGCGCAGUGGUUAACGAAUCCGAC